rnacentral:rRNA from 1 species
UACGUAGGGUGCAAGCGUUAAUCGGAAUUACUGGGCGUAAAGCGUGCGCAGGCGGUUGUGCAAGCCAGAUGUGAAAUCCCCGGGCUUAACCUGGGAACUGCAUUUGUGACUGCACGGCUAGAGUGUGUCAGAGGGGGGUAGAAUUCCACGUGUAGCAGUGAAAUGCGUAGAGAUGUGGAGGAAUACCGAUGGCGAAGGCAGCCCCCUGGGAUAACACUGACGCUCAUGCACGAAAGCGUGGGGAGCAAACAGG